AGGAGGAGGGUUCACAGAGACGUGGAAGGGUGUAGGAGUUGGGGGGGUGGGGUCACAGAGUCACUGACCAGUUUCUGACAGCUCUCCACGAUGAUCAGUUUCUGCUGGGGCGAGGUACGGGCAAACACCAUCUCAGGGGGAUAAUUUCCCACUCAGACCGCCUUCGGAAUACGCAACACUACAGCUCGAUUUCAUUAGAAGGUUAAGGAGGUUCAGCUGGUCACCGAACACCAACUCCAACAGAUGUCCUGUUGAAAGUGUCCUGACUGGUUACACCACGGUCUGGUCUGGCAAUUCCAAUGCACAAGGACGGAAGCUGCAAAGACUGGUGGGCUUAGCCCAAUACAUCACGGACACAUCCCUCCCCACCAUCGGCAGUAUUUGCAGGAGGUUCUGCCUCGAGAAGGCAUCAAAUUCCCACCACCCGGGCCAUGCCAUCUUCUCGCAGCUCACAUCGGGCAGGAGAUACAGAUGCCUGAAGUCUCACAUCACCAGGUUCAGCCCCGGACCCCACCCCAGGCUUUUCUCCCCACUCACUCGGAUCCCUGCUGUACGGCAUUUCACCACCGCAUCUGGGACGGUGGCUCUGGGAGGAUCAAUCAUCGAUAUCAGGCCAUCGAAGCAGAGCCCGCUGGUGGGGAAGUUCAUCUCGUCGGUGUCAAAGUUGUAGCCACGGGGGUACUCCUUCUCUGGCAGGUGGGGGUAGGGCCCCACAUUAACUCUUGAAAUGGGCCCCCAGAUGCUUAAGGCCGCCUAUGGUAUCACAAGCCGAGGAGGAAGCCAAGUCAGAUAAAUCCGAGUAUGACGAGAUUAAGAGUGAGGCUGCCAUAGAGAACGUGGACAUGACAGGAGGGGAAGAUGAUGGUGGUGGUGGUGACGCUGAGUUUAUUGAGGAAAUUUUACCUGACGAGAUUGAACCUGAUGACACUGAACCUAGUGAACUGGACCGUGUCAAAGAGCCUCGAAUUGUCAUACCAGAAGUGAACGAACAGCAUGACAUCGGACUUCUGAAGUUUGACAAGGAUAUUGGAAAAGCAAUUCUGCCUGACGCAUUGAGAACAGGAAUAGUAGAGCUGGGUUUGAAGUAUUUCCAGAACAGUGAGGGGCCUUUCUUACCAACAAAUAACUGUUCAAUGAACAAAACUUGGUUCAAGAGGAAAUUGGGAAAUGGUCGUGAUGAGGAAGUGACUCGCUCGUGGCUGGUCUAUUCCCCUUCUAAAAAUUCUGCAUUUUGUAUCUGUUGUCUUCUCUAUUCCCGGUCAGACCAUCAAUCCUCAUUGGAGCAGGAAAGCACCUGAAAGGAUUAGUAUUCAUGAAAAUGCCAAGAAUCGUUGGGAAUGCUUCACACAGUGGAAAGAAAUGGAAAGAAAUUUAGCUGGAAACAGAGGAGUUAUUGACGUGGUAUUUCAGUCACAGAUUGAGAAGGAAAAGCAGAAGUGGUGUGAUAUCUUGACGAGAAUCCCUCACUGCAUAAAAUUCCUUGCGACUCAGAACCUGGCUUUGCGAGGACAUGGGGAGUCACUUCAGCUAGACGAUGACUCCAAUGUGGGAAACUUCCCUGGCUUACUGAAACUACUGGCCAUCUUUGACCCUGUCAUAAAAGAACACCUUUCAUUUGGAAAGUCAUCCUGGAUCCACGUCUUAUCUUUCACUGGGUAUCCAGAAUGAAUUCAUCCACAUGAUGGCAUCCACUGUUCGCCAGAGUUUACUGAGAAGCAUUCGUAAAACCAAGUACUAUGGUCUCAUGUUCCACUCGACUCCUGAUCAGGCACACCGAGCAGAUGUCAGAAGUAGUAAGGUAUGUGAAAGUUGAUUUUGAGAGGAAAACAGUCCAUGUUAGAGUGUCCUUCCUUGGUUUUAUCCAGAUAAGCCAGAAGGAUGCUGAGAGCUUGGUUGAAGACAUCUUGAAACAGCUAGAGAAGGACGAAAUGGAGCUACAAGAUUGUCGGUCACAGUGCUAUGACAACGCUGCUGUGAUGGCUGGACACAGAAGUGGUGUUCAUCAAAGAAUAAGUGAGAAAAACAACCUGGCAGUGUUUGUGAAUUGCGACAAUCACUCUCUCAACUUGGUGGGCGUACAUGCAGCCAAGCAGGAUACAAUGAUGGUCACGUUUUUUGGAACCAUCGAUGCUCUCUACGUGUUUUUCUCUCAUUCAACACAGCGCUGGGAAAAACUCAAAAAUGCCUUGCCUAUGGUUGUUAAGUCGGAGUCCGAAACCAGGAGGAGUGCAAGAACAGAAGCAGUGAAGCCCGUCAACAAGUACCUUGAGGAGAUACUUCAAGUUCUCCAGGACAUGAUAGACAAUGAAAACCAGACCGGUGAAACAAGAAAGUGAUGCAAGGCAGCUGUACAAUUGCAUGUUGAGUUACGAAUUUCUGAAUUUGCUAGGAUUUUGGAACAAAGUACUCAUUCUCAUUGACCGUAUUUAAGAGGCUACAGGAUCCUAGCAUGAACUUCCAUGACGCUGCCCUGGAUUUGAAAGCCCGCCGAGAUCAUUUUUAUGAUGAAAGAGAAGUGUUGAUCAGUGAGUCACUCGAAGGAGGAGUCGGUCUCUGUCAAGAAUGGAAUAUUGAAGUUGAAAGACGUUAGAGACGAAAGAAACGAAUGGCUGAUGAGAACUCGAGAGAUGCUGGGUUAACAGCUAAGGAAGAAAUGGAAAGAGUCAUGAAGGGAACACUCGACCAUCUUCACAGAGAAAUGGAUGAAAGGUUCGCUUCUUUGCACAACACUGACGGCAAGUUUGGGUUCCUUCUCGAUGUCGUGGGACUGUGUUAUGGCGCCGACAGUGACGACCUAAAGAAGAGGUGUGAAAAUUUGGGCGAAUUGUACAGCUCUGAUGUUGAUGGACAGCAGCUACAUGAAGAAAUUUUGGAUUGCAGAAUGUUGCUAUCAAGGCGAGUCAACAUGAAAAUAUCAAGACCUGAAGAGCUUCUUGAAUCUAUUGUUCAGUAUGGAGAUGAGCGCAUCUUCCCCAAUCUUCACAUUGCUAUUCAGAUAAUGCUAACCAUCGCAGUUUCCAUCACCAGCUGUGAGAGAUCAUUCAGCAAGUUAAAACUAAUACUUUCAUAUUUGAGAGCCUCCAUGGGUCAAGGCAGACUCUGUGAUCUUGCCCUGCUGAGUGUAGAAAGAGAAGAAACAGAAAAAACUGACUGUGAUCACAUCAGAGACCAAUUUGCAUCAGUGAAAGCAGAGAAGGUCCAGUUAUAAUUUUCAUGCAGUGCCAUAAUUAGUUAAU